rfam:Ophiophagus hannah scaffold625.1, whole genome shotgun sequence.
AUAUUUAUCUGGCAGGGGAGAUACCAUGAUCAUGAAGGUGUUUUUUCCAGGGUGAGGCUCAUGCAUUGCACUCUGGGUGUGCUGACCCCCUUCAAUUUUCCUGAAUGUGGAUACUCAACUACAUAAUUUGUGAUGGGGGGGACUGCAUUCGAUUUUAA